rnacentral:rRNA from 1 species
CCUACGGGAGGCAGCAGUGGGGAAUUUUGGACAAUGGGCGAAAGCCUGAUCCAGCAAUGCCGCGUGAGUGAAGAAGGCCUUCGGGUUGUAAAGCUCUUUUGUCAGGGAAGAAACGGUGAGAGCUAAUAUCUUUUGCUAAUGACGGUACCUGAAGAAUAAGCACCGGCUAACUACGUGCCAGCAGCCGCGGUAAUACGUAGGGUGCAAGCGUUAAUCGGAAUUACUGGGCGUAAAGCGUGCGCAGGCGGUUUUGUAAGUCUGAUGUGAAAUCCCCGGGCUCAACCUGGGAAUUGCAUUGGAGACUGCAAGGCUAGAAUCUGGCAGAGGGGGGUAGAAUUCCACGUGUAGCAGUGAAAUGCGUAGAUAUGUGGAGGAACACCGAUGGCGAAGGCAGCCCCCUGGGUCAAGAUUGACGCUCAUGCACGAAAGCGUGGGGAGUAAACAGGAUUAGAUACCCUGGUAGUCCACGCCCUAAACGAUGUCUACUAGUUGUCGGGUCUUAAUUGACUUGGUAACGCAGCUAACGCGUGAAGUAGACCGCCUGGGGAGUACGGUGCAAGAUUAAAACUCAAAGGAUUGACGG